GUUUUAAUAGUUUAAAAAAACACUGAUCUUGUAAAUCAGAAAUAAGAUUUAUCUUUUAAAACU
rnacentral:tRNA from 1 species